GUGACGGAGUUGAACUGGUCGAGACGCCGGGUUGUGGCCCCGGAGGAAGCCGGUUCCAGUCCGGUCGGUCACCCCA
rnacentral:tRNA from 1 species